rnacentral:rRNA from 1 species
UGGGGAAUCUUGCACAAUGGGCGAAAGCCUGAUGCAGCAACGCCGCGUGCGGGAAGACAGCCCUAGGGUUGUAAACCGCUUUCAGCAGGGAAGAAACUGACGGUACCUGCAGAAGAAGAUGCGGCCAACUACGUGCCAGCAGCCGCGGUGACACGUAGGCAUCAAGCGUUAUCCGGAUUUAUUGGGCGUAAAGAGCUCGUAGGCGGUUCGGUAAGUCGGGUGUGAAAACUCUGGGCUCAACCCAGAGAGGCCACUCGAUACUGCUGUGACUAGAGUGCGGUAGGGGAGCGGGGAAUUCCUGGUGUAGCGGUGAAAUGCGCAGAUAUCAGGAGGAACACCAGUGGCGAAGGCGCCGCUCUGGGCCGUAACUGACGCUGAGGAGCGAAAGCAUGGGUAGCAAACAGGAUUAGAUACCCUGGUAGUCCAUGCCGUAAACGUUGGGCACUAGGUGUGGGUCUCAACCGAACGAGAUCCGCGCCGUCGCUAACGCA